CAGUCGCCGCGGGAAAACGAAGGGUGCAAGCGUUACUCGGAAUUACUGGGCGUAAAGCGUGCGUAGGUGGUGGUUUAAGUCCGUUGUGAAAGCCCUGGGCUCAACCUGGGAAUUGCAGUGGAUACUGGGUCACUAGAGUGUGGUAGAGGUUAGUGGAAUUUCCGGUGUAGCAGUGAAAUGCGUAGAGAUCGGAAGGAACAUCUGUGGCGAAGGCGACUAUCUGGGCCAACACUGACACUGAGGCACGAAAGCGUGGGGAGCAAACAGGAUUAGAUACCCCCGUAGUCCCUGUCUCUUAUAA
rnacentral:rRNA from 1 species